rnacentral:lncRNA from 1 species
CUCGAGAUUGAGUUUAAUCACCAAGGGCCAAUGAUGUAAUCAACCAUGCCUACAUAAUGGAACCACCAUAAAAACCCAAAGGACCCAUCAAGGUGUUGGGAGGAUGGUGCACCCGAAAGCACGUUGAAGCUCCCCACACUUCUCCACACCUCACCCUGUGCGUCUCCUCCAUCCUGCCAGGCUCCUGGGGCUGGGGUAACCUCCCACACUGGAAGGUAGACUUCGGAAGACCCUUCUGGAAAUGCUCCCAACUUGGGAAAACAGCGCUUCAGACUUCAGACCCAGGAAGAGAUCACCCAGUGCUCCUUUUAUGGGGCAUAC